rnacentral:misc_RNA from 1 species
GCGGAACUCGUUUUUGAGGACGCGAUCGCCGUGGCGGCCCCAGAUCCGGACGGUGCCGGAGACGUCGGCGGAGGCGACCCACUCGCCAUUGGGGGAGAAGCGGGCGACGGUGGCCUGGUAGGCGUGCUCGCCGUAGAUUGAGACCUCGAGGGGCGACUUGAGCUGGCGGAUGAUGACCGAUCUGCCGUUGCAGUAGGCUAUCGAGUCCGAUUUAGGAUCGCCGGAGAUUAAGAUCCCCCGCCCCCGCUCCGUCGACGGCACGCACGCG